CUGGCAACCCUGGGCGCAUGCUAUCCUCGAUUUAUCUCAGGGCACAACAGUGGCUCUAGCUAUAUCGUUUCAAGCUCUACUCCUCCGGUGCAGAUGGUAGCAGCCUAAACGAUGGAUGGGGAACACCAGGAAGAGAAUCCUUUACACGAGAAAGGAAAUCCUUUACACAAUGAAGAGAAGACUUCAAGUGAUGUGGAGAAGACUUUAUAUGACAUGGAGAGAGCUUUAUGUAACAUAAAAAAUAGUGCUGAAGAGAACAGUUCAAGUGAUGAUAACAGUUCAGGUGAUGAGGUAGAAGAACAAAGACUGGAUUCAAACCUCCCAAGUGGUUCAGAUCGUCUUCCAUCUAAUGCAGAAAGCCCCUGCGAUAAUAGUGAAUCUGAGCCGUCCCCCCAAAAAGCAGCACAAGCUAAAAAAACUCACCUCAAGAAGUUUGCGCCACGGAAAGGCACAAGGUCAAGCCUACGUACCAGCACAAAAUUGACAGUCAGUGCAUGUGAUACGACAGAUGGUAAAAGAAAAUUGGACAAAAAGCACUUCUGCCUGUAUUGCAAUGAACCACACCACAACAUUGCAAGACAUUUAGAAAGGAUGCACACAGAAGAAGCAGCUGUUGGUCAUGCUAUCAGCUUCCCAAAACUCUCCAAAAUCAGGUCUCUGUUGCUUGACCAACUCCGUAACAAAGGCAACUAUCAACACAACUUUGAAGUUCUUCAAAGUGGAGAUGGGGAAAUUGUGAGAAAGUAUAGACCAUCUAAUGAUGGCGUUUCUGUGCGUGACUGCCUGCCCUGCCAACACUGCUUAGCUUUUGUCUCCAAAAUUGAUUUAUGGAAACAUGAGAGCUCAUGUAAUGCCAGAAAAGGACAAGAUGAAACGAGGGGAGGAAAAAGAGUGAAGAUCCAGGCUGCGUCCUCUCAACUUGUUCCAUUGCCUGUCUAUUCUACUGGAGGAUAUGAAGAAAUAAUACACAAUAUGAAUCAAGAUGACAUCUCAUGCCACAUCAAAAAUGAUCCCCUCAUAUGUAAAUAUGGCAAUGCACUAUCUGCAAAGCAUGGUCAUGCCAAGUCACAGUUUACUUACAUUGGUUCAAAAAUGAGGGAAUUGGCUAGAUUUUUACUUGCUGUAAAUGAGAUGGACUGUGGUGUUCAAUAUCUGCAUGAAGUAUGUGUACCAUCCAAAUUCAAAUUGGCCGUUCAUGCUGCCAGGAAAAUGAGUGGUCAUGACCCUGCCUCCGACAGGUACAAGACCCCAUCUCUUGCUUUAAAGAUGGGCUAUUCCUUGAAAAGAGCUACCGAAAUAGCUUUUGGGGAGAGUCGUAUGACAGAGGACCGUGAAGCAGAGGAACAAGCCAAAAGGUUCAUUGAACUUCUUGAAAACGAUUGGAAUAACUGUUUUUCCGGUCUAUCCCUCAGCGCUGUCCCUCAAUGUGAUGAAGUUGAUGUGUCUUCACUAACUGAGGAUUUGAUCAAACUUCAGAAGUUUCUCAAGGUUGCAGAGGACACAGCGAAGAAAGAAUUGCUGGAGAACCCCACCAACACUGUCUGGAAAAAGCUCAAUGAAACUCUUCUUGCAGAAAUAGCUCUCUUCAACAGAAAAAGGACAGGGGAAGUUGCGAAAAUGCUGUUGGAAACGUACACAAACAGGAAGAAAGCUCCAGCUAGUGCAGACAUUUUCAAUAACCUCUCAAGGCUGGAGCAGGAGCUUGGAGACGACAAAUUAACCAGGUUGGAAAUAGAAGGCAAAAAUGGUAGGAAAAUGCCAGUCCUACUAACGGAGAGGAUGAUCUCAUCUCUUGAGAUCCUUAUUGCAAACAGAGACAAAGUUGGUGUGUCAAAGGACAACCCUUAUGUCUUUGCACGUAGCCUGGAUGCAGCAAGCUACAUCAGAGGGUUUGACUGUCUGAGGAAGUGUGCACAUGAGUGUGAUGCAAAGAAUCCUGAAAGUCUGAUCCAUGCGACAGUGAGGAAAGAGGUUGCUAUCCAUUGCCAACUACUAAACUUGAAUGAAAGUGAAUUGGAUCAGGUGGCAAAGUUAUUGGGACAUGACACCCAGGUUCAUAAAGAGUACUACAGGCUCUCUGAAAAUGCAGCACAUCUAGCAGAAAUCAGCAAACUGCUGCUUGCAAUGGAUCAGGUUCCAGUGGUAAUUCCAGGGCCAUCUGAGGAAAGGGUUGUUUAUCCUACAUAUGGGACAUCUUCUGCAGGGACAUACCCAGCUGGGACAGAUACUGGAAGGACAUAUCCUACCGAGACAUGUCCUACUGGGUCAUCAUAUCCUACAGAGACAUAUUCAGCGAAGUCAUAUACUGUGGAGGCACAGCCUUCAAGGUCAUAUCAUGCUGGGACAUAUCCUGAGAAGUCAUAUCCUUCAGGAUCACAUUCUGCGAGGUCAUAUUCUGCAGGGACAGAUUCUGCGAGAGCAUAUCCUACCGUGACACAUCCUGCAGGGACCGAUCCAGCAGGUUCAUAUGUUGCAGGGACAUAUACUGCAGGGACUCAUCAUGCAAGAUCAUAUCCUGCAAGUCCUUAUGGCCUUUCAUCUCCUGCAACAUCAUAUGCUUCGGGAACUAAUCCUGCAAGGUCAUAUCCUGCAGGAACAUAUCCUGCACAAACACUUCCAGCACGUACAGUUAUUACGCCAACACUUCAUGCACAGACACUUCCAACGCAGAAACUUCCUGUCAGGACAGUUCCUGCGAGGACAAGUCCUGUGAGGCCGUGGAGUGAUGCGGCUAAGGCUGCGGUAAAGCGUCAGUUGGGACACUUUAUCUCAAUGAUGAAGGUUCCAGGUAAACGGGACUGUGAAGUAUGCCUCCACAAUGAACCAGCUGUACGAGACAGGACUUGGAGAGACAUCAAAAACUAUGUGCACAACACAGUAAAAUCUAUUAAAAGGAAGAAGGGCCUUACAGGAGUGGACCCCAGAAAAUGGACAAAGAAAGAAUCUGCAAAGAUUGCUAAGGAAGAGGUUGGUGGAACAAGGACUGUACCUGCACAGGGUGAAGACGAGAGACUAGAGGCAGGUCCUGUUGCUGUGACAACACAAAGGAAGCAGAAGAUAUGGAGUGAUGAGGCUCAGGCUGCAGUCAGGCGGCAGCUAGGAGACUUCACUAAACUGAUGAAGAUACCAGGUAAAACGGAAUGUGAUGCAUGCAUUGCAGCUGAACCAGUUCUACAAGGCAGGACAUGGAAAGAUGUAAAAAACUAUGUGCAUAACACAUUAAUGACAAUGUGCAGGAGGCAUAUUUCAGGCAAACAAAACAUGGACCAUGAAAAACAAAGUCCAGGGACACAGAAACCGGGGAUGCAACAGAAACCAAAGGUGCCGUUGGGACUUCCAGAAGAUCUUCCUGUUUAUCUGUACUUAUGAUUUCUUUGAACUAGUUUCAACACUUUUGAUUUAAUCUGACCAUCUUUGCUCUCUCUGAUCUGACAUUGUAAAGCAAUAAUUAUGUAGCAUUUUUAUAAUGUCACAACCUACUUUUUUCUACCUACGUAUCCGUUAGGCCUGGGAAUUGCUAGGGACCUAACAAUACGAUUUUAUCACAAUACUUUGGUGCCAAUACUAUAUAUAUAUGCAUGUGUAUAUAUAUUGCAAUUCUAUAAGGACUGCGAUUCGAUACUUUGAUUUUAUUGCGAUUUGAUGUUUCAAACAUAUUGCUCACCAUGUCUGCUGCAGAGGGACAGGAGAGAGACAUGAGAAAACGAGUUUUGUUCAGUCAUGGAAGUAAGUGCUGAAAACAUGUUGGCUCCCCAUCUAAAAAGAAGUUGGAGAACAAGGUAGAGAAUAAAAAAUACUGGACCUUUUGGCGCAGGUACAGCCAACUAGCGCUAGCUAACUUUAACUUCCUAGCAAAAUAAAUUGAGAAUCAAUACUUGGAGUCAUAGGAAUGAUAAAAUAUAAUUGAAAAUAAUAUUGCGUUACUCUAAUGUAUUGAGAGAAACAAAUCCACUAGUGGGCCUAUCUGUAGCAUCUAGGCUACAUAGUGAAAUAUUAUGCAUGAGCACUAAAUAUAUGUUCAACAUUAAUAGAUUACAUGUACAAAUUACAGUGAAUAGUUUUUAAAACUUUGUAGAUUAAAGUUGUGCAAACCUAGACCGUUAAACUGAUAACUUUACCUUUUAGAUCACACUAAUGGUAUACUUCACCAAAUGGAUCUGGAUCCAGAUGUACAAAAUGUUUUGUGUAUUCUUGCCUGUACCAUUGUAUGUGUAGCUAAUGUGUAGGUUAGGUUUUGAGUUUAACAACUGACCAGCAAACUUGUGAAUUUAGCGGGUUAUUCCAUUUGAAAUUUGUGUGACUUUUAAUGGAUUUUUAAAUACAUGGCAUCACAGGAAGUUGGUGGCACCUUAAUUGGGGAGGUCGGGCUCGUCGUAAUGGCUGAAGUGGAAUCAGUGAAAUGGUAUCAAAUACAUCAAACAUAUGGUUUCCAUGUGUUGGCCAUUCCAUUCACUCUGUUCCGACUAUUAUUAUGAGCCUUCUUCCCCUCAGCAGCCUCCACUGCAUGGCCUACAUGCAUACACUAUCUACAUCCAUGCAUUUUGAAGCAUGGUUGAAUUUAUUAACAUGGAUAUUUUACUUAUGUUAUUAACGAUAGCUAGUAUUCCUAGCUACUGGUGUAUCAGUAGUUGUUUUAUAUAUUUUUUAAAAACACUGUUUUUAUCAUUCCUUUCAAUCAGGCUAGUUUUUGUGGAUAUUUGCAUCUAGAGCUGACAUUAAUUUUCAUUACUAAGCCAGAUUCCCACAGCUCCAUGACCCAGUGAGCCAUCUCAGUCCUGGUGAGUUGCUUUAGUCAAAAGGUGCUGUAGAUUAGGCUUGCCAAGUGGGCAGAGAGCGCGAUUUAGGACCAUUGGAAGGUUCUGAAAGGGAAAAAUCUGUCCACCUAUUGCACCGGGCAAAGUCAGUGACACUUUCAGAUCAUAGCAAAGGGCCCACUUAUGGCUGCAUUUCCGAUUUUCCACCCUUCUCCCAAAGUGACUGGGAGUAUUUAAAAAAAGAAAAGAAAAAUAAGAUAUAUUUCACCUUUAUUUAACCAGGUAGGCCAGUUGAGAACAAUUUCUCAUUUACAACUGCGACCUGGCCAAGAUAAAGCAAGGCAGUGCGACAAAAACAACAACAGAGUUACACAUGGGAUAAACAAAUGUACAGUCAAUAACACAAUAGAAACACUAUAUACAGUGUGUGCAAAUGUAGUAAGAUUAGGGAGGUAAGGCAAUAAAUAGGCCAUAGUGGCGAAAUCAUUUCAAUUUAGCAUUAACACUGGAGUGAUAGAUGUGCAGAUGAUGAUGUGCAAGUAGAGAUACUGGGGUGCAAAAGAGCAAACAAAUAACAAUAUGGGGAUCAGGUAGUUGGGUGGGCUAUUUACAGAUGGGCUGUGUACAGGUGCAGUGAUCAGUAAGCUGCUCUGACAGCUGAUACUUAUAGUUAGUGAGGGAGAUAUAAGUCUCCAGCUUCAGUGACUUUUGCAGUUCAUUCCAGUCAUUGGCAGUAUUCAAGUAAACUCUGAAAGAAGUGUGGAGAAUCCCAAAGCAGCGUGAGUUAUGGCUGAUGGGUUUGGCUUUAGGAACACCUUCCUAAUAUUGACUUGCACCCCCUUUUGCCCUCAGAAAAGCCUCAAUUCGUCGGGGCAUGGACUCUACAAGGUGUCAAUUGUUUCACAGGGAUGCUAGCCCAUGUUGACUCCAAUGCUUCCCACCGUUGUGUCAAGUUGGCUGGAUGUCCUUUGGGUGGUGGACAAUUUGUGAAAAAACCAGCAGCCUUGCAGUUCUUGAAACACUUAAAACGGUGCACCUGGCACCUACUACCAUACUCUGUUCAAAGGCACAAAUCCUUUGUCUUGCCCAUUCACCCUCUGAAUGGCACACAUGCAUAAUCCAUGUCUCCAAUUGUCUCCAGGCUUAAAAAUCAUUUUAACUGGUCUCCUCCCCUUCCUCUACACUCAUUGAAAUGGAUUUAACAAGUGACUUUGCAUUUAUUGAUUAACAAUAAUUAAUUAAUACCACCAUAUAGCUAUCUAUCUACAGUAGCCUAGAUUUGUUUGCAUACAUUUCUUAUGACAACCGAUCUGGUGUUAGAACUUGUACAAAUGCUACAAAAACGGUAGCACAUCGUUUGCUGGUAGUCAUUGUAAAGAAAUGAGCACGUGAGAGCUGUCUCACAACGGCAGUUGGUUAGCUUGCUAGCUACUUCCAGACACAAAUGAGAGAACUCACUCUGACCAUUUAACUCGCCCUAGCAGAGCUUGUUAUGUAGAGCGUUAGUGACUGUAACUGUGUUGCUAGCAACAAUUUAAUUCCGUUUUUUGCACACCUUUACUGACAACUGUCAUAUUCGACGGGUGUUGCGUGUUCGUAAGUUCAUCAGUUAUUCAACAGUUGUAACAAUUAAAAAAUCGUGGGUUAUUUGUGCGCUCUGGCACACUCAAGGGAGAGUGCUCUGAAAUCGUAAAUUAUCAAAAUGAAUUUACGAACACACCCUCAAAUCAAUGCAUACUAUAUUGUGGAGGCUAUCGCCCCACAAUCAUUUAUGGUCACUAGUAACUUUUACUAUAAUGUUGGUUGACUUCCCAUCCAAUUUCAGGACGCUUUUGAUUCUCCAAUCCACGUCUUUGACCAAAUGUUGCUAUUGUAAAUGUGAUUUUGCCAAUUGGAAUUGGUUCCUUUGUUCUACGUGUGGAAUUAGUUUCAGAGAAUCACACAAAAUCUAUUCCUAUUGUACCUGUCUUUCCUGCUAAAUAUGUAGAUCAUAAGGCUCUAGCGUUCCACAUGUAAUUGUUUUAUUGCUUGUCUAAUAUUAACAUUUACACUUUUUAUAUUAAUAUUUAUUCACUACUGUCUUAACCAUAUUGAUUUCACAACAGCUGUUUAAGUUCAACAUUAAGGCUGACUUGUAUAGGGUCUGUUGUUACACACCCCACUAUUUACUGUCUAAAGACAUGGACAUCAUUAAUAGUGUUUUUUCUUCCAUAUGUAUUUCUUAUUAAGCUGCCUUUUGUUGCCCCCUGGUGCUCAUUGUGUACUGUAUAUGUAAGAUACUAUAUUUGCUUGGUUAAUAAAUUGUUACUUGAUCUAAA